rnacentral:rRNA from 1 species
GGCAGAGACGUGCCGCGAGGCGUGGAAAGGCGGAGGGUGGAGGCGUUGGCAGGGAGUAGUGGGGUGCAAGGACUGGUAGGGUGCUUGUCGCGUCGGUGGUGAAGACCGGGGGCUCAACCGCGGGCCUGCGGCGGAGAUGGGCAAGCUAGAGUGCGGUAGGGGAGAGUGGGAUUCCUGGUGUGGCGGUGAAAUGCGCAGAUAUAAGGGGGAACACCGGUGGCGAAGGCGGGUCUCUGGGCCGAUAUUGACGCUGAGGAGCGAAAGCGUGGGGAGCGAACAGGAUUAGAUACCCUGGUAGUC